ACACACACACACACACACACACACACACACACACACACACACACACGGGACUCGUAAAUAAGACUAGCCUAUUAAAAUCAUUAUCUGACUCCAUAAUGAAGAAUAGUAAUAUGCAAAAGCCUACAGUUUUAUUUCACCUUUAUUUAACCAGGUAGGCCCGUAUUUCACCUUUAUUUAACCAGGUAGGCCCGUAUUUCACCUUUAUUUAACCAGGAAGGCCCGUCGAGAACAAGUUCUCAUUUACAACUGCCACCUGGCCAAGAUCAAGCAAAGCAGUGGGACACAAACAACAACAAGAGUUACACAUGGAAUAAACAAAACGUACAGUCAAUAACACAAUAGUUGAGUUACAGCAACAGACCGUGAAGAAAUGUCUGAACCGAAUUCUAAAUACAAGUAUAUUUAAUGACUUUGUCAAAUGAAUGGAUUUACAUACGAGGGGCAUAAAGCUUCACUUACAAAGCGUUAACAAGCAUUACAAGGCAUUAUUCUAAGCAUGGUCAGAGAGAGCUGAGGAAUGCCAGGGCCCAGAGGUCACGGGAGAGAUGAAGAAACCAUGGCUCGUGCCAGGGCCCAGAGGUCACGGGAGAGAUGAAGAAACCAUGGCUCGUGCCAGGGCCCAGAGGUCACGGGAGAGAUGAAGAAACCAUGGCUCGUGCCAGGGCCCAGAGGUCACGGGAGAGAUGAAGAAACCAUGGCUCGUGCCAGGGCCCAGAGGUCACGGGAGAGAUGAAGAAACCAUGGCUCGUGCCAGGGCCCAGAGGUCAUGGGAGAGAUGAAGAAACCAUGGCUCGUGCCAGGGCCCAGAGGUCAUGGGAGAGAUGAAGAAACCAUGGCUCGUGCCAGGGCCCAGAGGUCAUGGGAGAGAUGAAGAAACCAUGGCUCGUGCCAGGGCCCAGAGGUCAUGGGAGAGAUGAAGAAACCAUGGCUCGUGCCAGGGCCCAGAGGUCAUGGGAGAGAUGAAGAAACCAUGGCUCGUGCCAGGGCCCAGAGGUCAUGGGAGAGAUGAAGAAACCAUGGCUCGUGCCAGGGCCCAGAGGUCAUGGGAGAGAUGAAGAAACCAUGGCUCGUGCCAGGGCCCAGAGGUCAUGGGAGAGAUGAAGAAACCAUGGCUCGUGCCAGGGCCCAGAGGUCAUGGGAGAGAUGAAGAAACCAUGGCUCGUGCCAGGGCCCAGAGGUCAUGGGAGAGAUGAAGAAACCAUGGCUCGUGCCAGGGCCCAGAGGUCAUGGGAGAGAUGAAGAAUGAGUGUUGGUUUCUCACCACAGCAAGUCAGGAACAUAAGAGAAAGAACAAUGAAUCUAAGACACCUUCAUAACAUCUGAGUUGUUUGGAUUCAAAUUCUGACUUGUUGACCAAUAGUAUUACUGUAAAAGUUAACCUCAGAUAUCAGACCAAUAGGAUGUAACCUCAGCUCCUCAGAGGGGGUUGGAGAGAUCAACACAGAGAAUGUUGAAUUCCUAAGAGAACGAAGAGAAUGCUGAAUUCCUAAGAGAACGAAGAGAAUGCUGAAUUCCUAAGAGAACGAAGAGAAUGCUGAAUUCCUAAGAGAACGAAGAGAAUGUUGAAUUCCUAAGAGAACACAGAGAAUGCUGAAUUCCU